rnacentral:rRNA from 1 species
AUUGAACGCUGGCGGCAUGCCUUACACAUGCAAGUCGAACGGUAACGCGGGGCAACCUGGCGACGAGUGGCGAACGGGUGAGUAAUAUAUCGGAACGUGCCCAGUCGUGGGGGAUAACGUAGCGAAAGUUACGCUAAUACCGCAUACGAUCUACGGAUGAAAGCGGGGGAUCGCAAGACCUCGCGCGAUUGGAGCGGCCGAUAUCAGAUUAGGUAGUUGGUGGGGUAAAGGCUCACCAAGCCAACGAUCUGUAGCUGGUCUGAGAGGACGACCAGCCACACUGGAACUGAGACACGGCCCAGACUCCUACGGGAGGCAGCAGUGGGGAAUUUUGGACAAUGGGGGAAACCCUGAUCCAGCAAUGCCGCGUGAGUGAAGAA